CAGUAGCCGCGGUAAAACGUAGGGUGCAAGCGUUAAUCGGAAUUACUGGGCGUAAAGCGUGCGCAGGCGGUUAUAUAAGUCAGAUGUGAAAUCCCCGGGCUCAACCUGGGAACUGCAUUUGAGACUGUAUGGCUAGAGUGUGUCAGAAGGGGGAAGAAUUCCACGUGUAGCAGUGAAAUGCGUAGAUAUGUGGAGGAAUACCGAUGGCGAAGGCAGCCCCCUGGGAUAACACUGGCGCUCAUGCACGAAAGCGUGGGGAGCAAACAGGAUUAGAUACCCGCGUAGUCCCUGUCUCUUAUAC
rnacentral:rRNA from 1 species